UCUCUCUUUUUUCUUUUUUUUUUUCUUCUUUUUUUUUUUUUUUUUUAAUCUGCUUCCGACUGGCUUUCGCCUUCGCACUGGCUCGCCGGUGUGCGGCGUUCGGGCUGGGGGUCCUAAAAGAACGCAGUCCGUCCGGCCCAAGGCGCGGCGGGAGCGUGGGAAGCGCCCCAUGCUCCUGGCUGUCACUCCUCGGGAGGCUCGGUGCGAGGGUCCCCCCCGCCUCCGACGGGUCGUGCUCAGAAGAGCUCUCCUGCCCGGAGCUCAGAAGGAGCCUGGCUAACCGCUCCAAGGGAAAGGGAAAAAGGGGCACGCAAAUUCUGCAGAAAGGUUCCUUCGAAAGGCAUCCUUUACACUGCUGUCUGCGUUGUGGAUAUUUUUUCCUCAGUGAUCACCGGGGCACUUCAAAAUGUUCUGUGCUGUGGGCCGGUUCAAUUAACAUAAAAUAAGCAAACAGCUCAUGACGGAGAGCACAGUUGGAUGUUGGUUAAGAUGCGUCCCACCACCGUCUUGUACCUCAUGUUAAGCUGCCAAUAUAAGUUUUCGUCCAGGCAGCAGGCACAGGAAAGAGUUCCAAAUUAGCAUCCCACUGGCAGAAAUGGUUGCAACGUGAAUUCCUUUCUAGCUGGCCUAGCACCAUCCACUUAGCAAACAACAUGAAUGGGACAAAUGCUGCUGUUCCCUAGCAAGCAGUGAGUUGACCUGGGAGUAGGAAUAGAAUACUGUAUAUCUGCACAAAAAAA